rnacentral:rRNA from 1 species
UACGUAGGGUGCAAGCGUUAAUCGGAAUUACUGGGCGUAAAGCGUGCGCAGGCGGUUCGCUAAGACAGAUGUGAAAUCCCCGGGCUUAACCUGGGAACUGCAUUUGUGACUGGCGGCUAGAGUAUGGCAGAGGGGGGUAGAAUUCCACGUGUAGCAGUGAAAUGCGUAGAGAUGUGGAGGAAUACCGAUGGCGAAGGCAGCCCCCUGGGCCAAUACUGACGCUCAUGCACGAAAGGCGUGGGGGAGCAAACAACGG